rnacentral:tRNA from 1 species
GUCCAUAUUGCUCACAGUAUGGUGGCUAUGACCUUCGGCUUGUGACCGAGUGGGUUCGGGUUCGAAUCCCGAGUAAGACA